CACGUAGGAGGCAAACGUUAUCCGGAUUUAUUGGGCGUAAAGCGCGUGUAGGUGGUUCUGUAAGUAGGGCGUGAAAGCUCCCGGCUCAACUGGGAGAGGCCGUUCUAAACUGCAGAGCUAGAGGAUGGUAGAGGGAGGUGGAAUUCCAGGUGUAGCGGUGGAAUGCGCAGAUAUCUGGAGGAACACCAGUGGCGAAGGCGGCCUCCUGGACCAUUCCUGACACUCAGACGCGAAAGCUAGGGUAGCAAACAGGAUUAGAUACCCCCGUAGUCCCUGA
rnacentral:rRNA from 1 species